rnacentral:rRNA from 1 species
AUGUCUUGGAACGUUAGAGGACUGAAUGCGCCGGCCAAACGUGAGGCCAUUCGAGAAACUGCAGCUGCUCUCAAGACAGCCAUUCUGACGCUUCAAGAAACAAAGAUCGAUGCCUGGUCUUCAGAAAUCGCGUGUGAGAUAGGGGACAGCCUGCGGGGUUGUGUGGUUCUCCCGGCCCUGGGGGCGAGGGGUGGCGCUGUAAUUUUCUGGAACAAAGAAGUGGUUUCCAUUGAAUCACACUCCAUAGGUAGAUUCACCAUCAUGGUUAAGGUCACUAAACGUAGCAACAAUGUUCAGUACUGGUUGACGAUGGUAUAUGGGCCAACUGAUGAAGCCAUUAGAGAGGAGUUUUUUCUCGAGAUGGUCAGCAUUGCACCCCCAGUGGGAGAGCCAUGGCUGGUCACAGGAGAUUUCAACAUGAUCUAUGAAGCUAGAGACAAGAGCAACUCGAACCUGAACAUGAGGCUUAUGGGCAGAUUCAGGAAAGCUUUAGAUUUUGCUGGCUUAAAAGAAAUCAAAUGC